AGAGUUUGAUCCUGGCUCAGGAUUAACGCUGGCGGCGUGCAUAACACAUGCAAGUCGAACGAUGAAACUUUAUUGAAUUCUUCGGAAGGAAAUAAAAUGGAUUAGUGGCGAACGGGUGAGUAACACGUGAGUAACCUGCCUUACACAAGGGGAUAGCCUCUGGAAACGGAGAAUAAUACCCUAUGAAACUAUCUUAUCGCAUGACUAGAUAGUCAAAGUGCUUAGCGGUGUAAGAUGGACUUGCGACUGAUUAGCUAGUUGGUGAGAUAACAGCCCACCAAGGCAACGAUCAGUAGCCGGCUUGAGAGAGUGUACGGCCACAUUGGGACUGAGACACGGCCCAGACUCCUACGGGAGGCAGCAGUGGGGAAUUUUGCACAAUGGGGGAAACCCUGAUGCAGCGACGCCGCGUGAUUUAGAAGGCCUUCGGGUUGUAAAAAUCUUUUGUAUGGGAAGAAAAUGACAGUACCAUACGAAUAAGGACCGGCUAAUUACGUGCCAGCAGCCGCGGUAAUACGUAAGGUCCGAGCGUUGUCCGGAAUCAUUGGGCGUAAAGGGUACGUAGGCGGGUAAGCAAGUUAGAAGUGAAAUCCUAUAGCUCAACUAUAGUAAGCUUUUAAAACUGUUCAUCUUGAGGUAUGGAAGGGAAAGUGGAAUUCCUAGUGUAGCGGUGAAAUGCGCAGAUAUUAGGAGGAAUACCGGUGGCGAAGGCGACUUUCUGGCCAUAAUCUGACGCUGAGGUACGAAAGCGUGGGUAGCAAACAGGAUUAGAUACCCUGGUAGUCCACGCCGUAAACGAUGAGUGCUAGGU
rnacentral:rRNA from 1 species